rnacentral:rRNA from 1 species
GACGAACGCUGGCGGCGUGCCUAAUACAUGCAAGUCGAACGCACUCUCGUUUAGAUUGAAGGAGUUUGCUCCUGAUUGAUAAACAUUUGAGUGAGUGGCGGACGGGUGAGUAACACGUGGGUAACCUGCCCUAAAGUGGGGGAUAACAUUUGGAAACAGAUGCUAAUACCGCAUAAAACCUAACACCGCAUGGUGUAGGGUUGAAAGAUGGUUUCGGCUAUCACUUUAGGAUGGACCCGCGGUGCAUUAGUUAGUUGGUGAGGUAAAGGCUCACCAAGACCGUGAUGCAUAGCCGACCUGAGAGGGUAAUCGGCCACACUGGGACUGAGACACGGCCCAGACUCCUACGGGAGGCAGCAGUAGGGAAUCUUCCACAAUGGACGAAAGUCUGAUGGAGCAACGCCGCGUGAGUGAAGAAGGUUUUCGGAUCGUAAAACUCUGUUGUUGGAGAAGAACGUAUCUGAGAGUAACUGAUCAGGUAGUGACGGUAUCCAACCAGAAAGCCACGGCUAACUACGUG